AGACAUGGCUUGCACAGGUGGAGUGAUCCUUCCCAAACCACAGAAGCAGGAGUGAAGGGAUCCUAUCCUUGGGCAGAGGCUCAGAGGGGAGAAGAUGGGUAGACUUGGAAUGACUCAAUAGGACAUCAGGGGUAGUAGGCGCCGGGGUAGCGGGAGCUGGGGUAGAGGGCGCCGGGGUAGCAGGCUCCAGGGUAGUGGGUGCUGGGGUAGCAGGAGCCAUGGUAGUGGGGUCUGGGGUAGCAGGCACCGGGGUAGCAGGUCCAGGGUAGCAGGCACCAGGUAGCGGGUCCGGGGUAGCGGGCUCCAGGGUCGGCACUGCAGGGUGUUUAGCAGCAUCUCUGCCUCUGAUCACAGGGUGCCAGUAGCAGAGUCCUCUCACCCCAUUGUGACGUCCAAAAUGCCUCCAUAUAUUGCCCUCUGUCUCCCGGGGGACAAAACUUGCCCUUGACUGAGAACCACUGUCCUAGGUCCAUCUCGUGCAGUUGGGCCAGAGCCUACCUCGACUCUGGGCACAGAGAAGCAAGUGCCAUCCCUGGAGUGGUGGUCCUCCUCCAGGAGGCAUGCCAGAGCUCCUUGGAGCUUCUUAAAAGCACAGGGGCCUGGGCUUUACUCCACAAUUCUGAUGUCAUUGGAUGCGGUGGACAUUUGCUGAAAGCUUACGCGAUGGUCUGAUCAGCGGGCGCAGCUGAGAACCACUGGUGCCUGGCUCCCUUGGGAACGGAGCCCACAGCCCCAGGGCCUCAGCUCGGGUGUGUGGGGCAGUUCCGUGCAUGCUGAAAGCAUACCCCCUCCAGUGCUUGAUGGGGGCUUCUCUGGUCUUCUGCCUCAGAGCCCUCUCCAAAACCCAUAGAGGACUUCAGACCCGUGUUCAGCCCCACAUGAGGAGUUGGAGGGGUGCUAGUGCCCCAGGGGUAAUGGGAGCCUGUAGGAGCUCCCCAGAACUGCCUCAAGGGAAACCACAGAUGGCGCCUUAAAUAACACAGUUCUCUCUCCUUGGCUUACAGAUGCCCUCUCCUCCCUGGGUCCUCACAGGGCCACCCCUCUGUGUGUGUCUGUGUCUGUGUCCUAAUCUCCUAUUCUUAUAAGGACACCAGUUAGGUUGGAUGAGGGCCCACCCUAAUGGCCUCGUUUACCUUAAUCACUUCUUUAAAGGCCCUACCUCCAAAUACAGCCACAUGCUGAGGUACGGGGGGUUAGGACUUUUCAACAUAGGCAGAUUGGGAGAUACACCUCGGCCCACAGCAGCAUCCGGAGGCCUGUGUCUCCGUGUCUGAGCCUGGGUGUGGAUGCCGCACCCGUGCUGGUUGGAGGAAGCUGGCCUGCACGGCCUCUGAUCUUCUCCACUUUCUUACUCAUCUGAACUUUGGGGCACUCCAAUUCUGCUGAGGAAGGAAAAGGAUCCUUUUUGCAAAUUAAAUACUGACUCUAGUAUAACAUCACAUGACAGGUAAAGGAGGAUAUCAAAAUAUUUUAUCCCAAAAUAGGUUUCUUUGCUAUACUUUGAAAUGGUGCUGAAAAGCUGGCUUUCGUGAUGCAAAAUUUGCAUCUGUAAGGAAUCUCUAAUAAUAUAACUAGGUAUUUCCCCUUCCAGGCCCUCCCAAUCCAGAAGAGAUUAGCACCUUUGAAAGAUCUAAAUAGGAAACAUUGCCAUCUAUUGUCUCAAAGGGCAGCCACCUAUGAGACUUCAUCUACAUAACAAGAACCUUGGUCUCCACAACCCCUUAUCUUAACCCAAACACUCCUUUCUAUUGAUUCUAGGUCUUUAGAUAAUAACUUAACUCUUCAACCAAUUGCCAAUCAGAAAAUCUUUGAAUCCACCUAUGACCUGUAAGGCAUUCCCCACCUUCCAGUUGUCCUGCCUUUCCAGAACUAAACAAUUUAUACCUCACAUGUAUUGAUUGAGGUCUUAUGUCUCCCUAAAACGUAUAUGACCAAGCUGUAACCCAAUCACCUUG
rnacentral:lncRNA from 1 species